CCUACGGGAGGCAGCAGUGGGGAAUUUUGGACAAUGGGCGCAAGCCUGAUCCAGCAAUGCCGCGUGAGUGAAGAAGGCCUUCGGGUUGUAAAGCUCUUUUGUCAGGGAAGAAACGGUUGGGGCUAAUAUCCUCGGCUAAUGACGGUACCUGAAGAAUAAGCACCGGCUAACUACGUGCCAGCAGCCGCGGUAAUACGUAGGGUGCAAGCGUUAAUCGGAAUUACUGGGCGUAAAGCGUGCGCAGGCGGUUUUGUAAGUCUGUCGUGAAAGCCCCGGGCUUAACCUGGGAAUUGCGAUGGAGACUGCAAGGCUUGAAUCUGGCAGAGGGGGGUAGAAUUCCACGUGUAGCAGUGAAAUGCGUAGAGAUGUGGAGGAACACCGAUGGCGAAGGCAGCCCCCUGGGUCAAGAUUGACGCUCAUGCACGAAAGCGUGGGGAGCAAACAGGAUUAGAUACCCUGGUAGUCCACGCCCUAAACGAUGUCUACUAGUUGUCGGGUCUUAAUUGACUUGGUAACGCAGCUAACGCGUGAAGUAGACCGCCUGGGGAGUACGGUCGCAAGAUUAAAACUUAAAUGAAAUUGACGG
rnacentral:rRNA from 1 species